rnacentral:rRNA from 1 species
GAUGAACGCUGGCGGUCUGCUUAACACAUGCAAGUCGAACGAACUCUUCGGAGUGAGUGGCGGACGGGUGAGUAACGCGUGAGAAACCUGCCCUAUACAGGGGGAUAGCCAUUGGAAACGAUGAUUAAUACCCCAUAUGACCACAGUAUCGCAUGAUACAGCGGUGAAAACUCCGGUGGUAUAGGAUGGUCUCGCGUCUGAUUAGCUAGUUGGUGGGGUAACGGCCUACCAAGGCGACGAUCAGUAGCCGGCCUGAGAGGGUGACCGGCCACACUGGAACUGAGACACGGUCCAGACUCCUACGGGAGGCAGCAGUGGGGAAUAUUGCACAAUGGGCGAAAGCCUGAUGCAGCGACGCCGCGUGAACGAUGAAGGCUUUCGAGUCGUAAAGUUCUGUUCUUUGGGGAAGAUAACGACGGUACCCAAGGAGAAAGCACCGGCUAAAUACGUGCCAGCG